CCCGCUGAACUUAAGCAUAUCAAUAAGCGGAGGAAAAGAAACUAACAAGGAUUCCCCUAGUAACUGCGAGUGAAGAGGGAAAAGCUCAAAUUUAAAAUCUGGCAGCUUUGGCUGUCCGAGUUGUAAUCUGGAGAAGUGUUUUCAGUGCAGGACCGUGUACAAGUCUCUUGGAAUGGAGCAUCAUAGAGGGUGAGAAUCCCGUCUUUGACACGGACUACCUGUGCUUUGUGAUACACUCUCAAAGAGUCGAGUUGUUUGGGAAUGCAGCUCAAAAUGGGUGGUAAAUUCCAUUUAAAGCUAAAUAUUGGCGAGAGACCGAUAGCGAACAAGUACCGUGAGGGAAAGAUGAAAAGCACUUUGGAAAGAGAGUUAAACAGUACGUGAAAUUGUUGAAAGGGAAACGCUUGGAGUCAGUCGCGUUUGUUAGAACUCAGCUUGGCUUCUGCUUAGUGUACUUUCUAAUGAACGGGCCAACAUCGAUUUCAGUCAGUGGAUAAGGGUAAGAGGAAUGUGGCACCUUCGGGUGUGUUAUAGCCUCUUAUCGUAUACAUUUACUGGGAUCGAGGUCUGCAGCACUUGUGCUUAGGAUGUUGGCAUAAUGGCUUUAAUCGACCCGUCUUGAAACACGG
rnacentral:rRNA from 1 species